UUGAGCCGUAUGUUUGGAAACGGACACGUACGGUUCUUAAGAGGGUGCGGACGAGCAAUCGUCCAAUCCUAUCUAAC
rfam:Methanobrevibacter millerae strain SM9, complete genome.